rnacentral:rRNA from 1 species
GACGGAAGGUGCAAGCGUUGCUCGGAAUCACUGGGCGUAAAGGGUGCGUAGGCGGCCGUGUAAGUCUGGCGUGAAAGCCCCGGGCUCAGCCCGGGAAGUGCGCUCGAAACUGCGCGGCUCGAGUGCCGGAGGGGAGAGUGGAAUUCCUGGUGUAGCGGUGAAAUGCGUAGAUAUCAAAGAGGAACACCAGUGGCGAAGGCGAGUCCCUGGACAACACCUGACACUGAGGCACGAAAGCUAGGGGAGCAAACAGG